rnacentral:rRNA from 1 species
AUCUUAGUGGCGGACGGGUGAGUAACGUGUGGGCAACCUGCCCUGUACUGGGGAAUAAUCAUUGGAAACGAUGACUAAUACCGCAUGUGGUCCUCGGAAGGCAUCUUCUGAGGAAGAAAGGAUUUAUUCGGUACAGGAUGGGCCCGCAUCUGAUUAGCUAGUUGGUGAGAUAACAGCCCACCAAGGCGACGAUCAGUAGCCGACCUGAGAGGGUGAUCGGCCACAUUGGGACUGAGACACGGCCCAAACUCCUACGGGAGGCAGCAGUGGGGAAUAUUGCACAAUGGGCGAAAGCCUGAUGCAGCAACGCCGCGUGAAGGAUGAAGGGUUUCGGCUCGUAAACUUCUAUCAAUAGGGAAGAAAGAAAUGACGGUACCUAAAUAAGAAGCCCCGGCUAACUACGUGCCAGCAGCCGCGGUAAUACGUAGGGGGCAAGCGUUAUCCGGAAUUACUGGGUGUAAAGGGAGCGUAGGCGGCAUGGUAAGCCAGAUGUGAAAGCCUUGGGCUUAACCCGAGGAUUGCAUUUGGAACUAUCAAGCUAGAGUACAGGAGAGGAAAGCGGAAUUCCUAGUGUAGCGGUGAAAUGCGUAGAUAUUAGGAAGAACACCAGUGGCGAAGCGGCUUUCUGGACUGAAACUGACGCUG